UAGGUAGUUGGCUAGGAGAUAGAAACAGGGAGACUGUCAGCGACAUCUUGUUCAAAAGGUCAGGUCUUUCUGUGUCUGUCAGCGCCAUCUUGUUCAAAAGGUCAGGUCUUUCUGUGUCUGUCAGCGCCAUCUUGUUCAAAAGGUCAGGUCUUUCUGUGUCUGUCAGCGCCAUCUUGUUCAAAAGGUCAGGUCUUUCUGUGUCUGUCAGCGCCAUCUUGUUCAAAAGGUCAGGUCUUUCUGUGUCUGUCAGCGCCAUCUUGUUCAAAAGGUCAGGUCUUUCUGUGUCUGUCAGCGCCAUCUUGUUCAAAAGGUCAGGUCUUUCUGUGUCUGUCAGCGCCAUCUUGUUCAAAAGGUCAGGUCUUUCUGUGUCUGUCAGCGCCAUCUUGUUCAAAAGGUCAGGUCUUUCUGUGUCUGUCAGCGCCAUCUUGUUCAAAAGGUCAGGUCUUUCUGUGUCUGUCAGCGCCAUCUUGUUCAAAAGGUCAGGUCUUUCUGUGUCUGUCAGCGCCAUCUUGUUCAAAA